rnacentral:rRNA from 1 species
CAGUCGCCGCGGGAAUACAGAGGGUGCAAGCGUUAAUCGGAUUUACUGGGCGUAAAGGGCGCGUAGGUGGUUAUGUAAGUGAGAUGUGAAAUCCCCGGGCUCAACCUGGGAACUGCAUCUUAUACUGCGUAGCUGGAGUGCAGUAGAUGGUAGUGGAAUUUCCGGUGUAGCGGUGAAAUGCGUAGAUAUCGGAAGGAACACCAGUGGCGAAGGCGGCUACCUGGACUGACACUGACACUGAGGCGCGAAAGCGUGGGGAGCAAACAGGAUUAGAUACCCCCGUAGUCCCUGUCUCUUAUAC